GACGUAGGGCGCAAGCGUUGUCCGGAUUUAUUGGGCGUAAAGAGCUCGUAGGCGGUUUGUCGCGUCUGCCGUGAAAGUCCGGGGCUCAACUCCGGAUCUGCGGUGGGUACGGGCAGACUAGAGUGAUGUAGGGGAGACUGGAAUUCCUGGUGUAGCGGUGAAAUGCGCAGAUAUCAGGAGGAACACCCGUGGCGAAAGCGGCUCUCUGGAACGGUACUGACGCUGAGACGCGAAAGCGUGGGGAGCGAACAGG
rnacentral:rRNA from 1 species